AAAUUGAAGAGUUUGAUCAUGGCUCAGAUUGAACGCUGGCGGCAGGCCUAACACAUGCAAGUCGAGCGGUAGCACAGAGAGCUUGCUCUCGGGUGACGAGCGGCGGACGGGUGAGUAAUGUCUGGGAAACUGCCUGAUGGAGGGGGGUAACUACUGGAAACGGUAGCUAAUACCGCAUAAUGUCGCAAGACCAAAGUGGGGGACCUUCGGGCCUCAUGCCAUCAGAUGUGCCCAGAUGGGAUUAGCUAGUAGGUGGGGUAA
rnacentral:rRNA from 1 species